rnacentral:rRNA from 1 species
UCGCUAGUAAUCGCGGAUCAGCAUGCCGCGGUGAAUACGUUCCCGGGCCUUGUACACACCGCCCGUCACACCACGAGAGUUGGCAACACCCGAAGUCGGUGAGGUAACCUUUUUGGAGCCAGCCGCCGAAGGUGGGGCCAAUGAUUGGGGUGAAGUCGUAACAAGGUAGCCGUAUCGGAAGGUGC